AUGGCCGGCGGCGAUUGUUCUCCCGUGGCGGCAGCGGCUGCGGCGAGAAAGUGGGACCACGAAGAGUAUCGGUUCGAGACGCCGGAGGAGGAUUCCUUGGACCCGCGAUUCAGCGAGUACGACCCCAAGCAGGGUUGUUUCAUAUACGUCCGCUACUUCUUCGAUGGCGACAAACUCGACCUCGACGAGGAGUCACCUGCUGGUCCCAUGCGACAUACUGGUAAAAUCUUCAAAGAGGGGUUCCGGCUAAAAAACUCGGUCAAUGUUGUCUCCAUCAAGAUUGUUUCCUCCGACUAUGGCCCACUCAAUGUCUACGGUACCAUCAUAGCCAGGGACAGUCUGGAUCAAAAAUGUGUCUAUAUAUUCCGGCACGACCAGGAUGAUUGCCAGCUCAUCAGCUCAAAGGAUGAUUCAUUGAUUUUGAUUGGCCAAAAGAGAGGAUUCAUGGUAUGCGAUGAUAUAUUCUUUGAAAUCAAUCUGAAGGUGAAGGAUGUGCAUGGGAGGACUGUCCAUGAUGCUAGGCUCAGUAAAGGCCUGAUGGAGGUGGAUGCUAUCCGCAGGCUGGAAUUUGAUCCCAGAUAUGUGGUUGAAACGGAAACACUCGUUAGCAUGCACAGCAUAUUGGAUUUAAACUACACAUUCGUAAGAAGGUCGGUGGAGGGCACUGUUGAGGUCAGGAUCCUUCAGGGUCCUGAUGAAUUCCAUGGGAAGAUCGCUGCUUCCACUACCAGCAUUCCAUGCGACAUUGUGCUACAUGAUAGCAAGGUGAGUGGUGCGCUAACUGCAGGUGACAAUGGAGUCCUUCAAAUGGCGCGGCGCGUAGUAGGAGUCUCUGUGGAUGAGAUACUGGUGUUGACUGUUGCUGCUGCUGUCGGUGACUAUAAGUUAUCUGUCGGCACUGUUGAGUUUACUCCAAGGCGCAAUGGUUACGAUGCUGAGAUUAUCAUAUGCGGCAACUACCAUAUGCUUCUGAAGGCCACUUGGUCGAUUGUGUAUUUCUGA
rnacentral:rRNA from 1 species